GGUUGGUCUGAGUGCAGUGGUGUUUACAACUAAUUGAUCACAACCAGUUACAGAUUCCUUUGUUCCUUCUCCGCUCCCACUGCUUCACUUGACCAGCCUUUA
rnacentral:Y_RNA from 1 species